rnacentral:rRNA from 1 species
UACAGAGGUCUCAAGCGUUGUUCGGAUUCAUUGGGCGUAAAGGGUGCGUAGGCGGUUCGCUAAGUCGGAUGUGAAAACUCUGGGCUCAACCCAGAGCCUGCAUCCAAAACUGGCGGGCUAGAGUUCUGGAGGGGGUAGCGGAAUUCCUGGUGUAGCGGUGAAAUGCGUAGAUAUCAGGAGGAACACCGGUGGCGAAGGCGGCUACCUGGACAGAAACUGACGCUGAGGCACGAAAGCUAGGGGAGCAAACAGG